rnacentral:snRNA from 1 species
UGUAAGUGUUCCCCUACACGGAAAUCUUUCGCCUUUUACUAAAGAUUUUCGUGUAUGGGAGCACUUACAUAGCAUUAUUACUUU